CCGUGCUAGGUGGGGAGGUAGCGGUUCCCUAUACUCGAAAUCCGCUUUAUGCGAGACUUAAUUCCUUUGUUGAGGGCACAAUUUUGUGAAGUCUGCCCGAAGCACGUAGUGUUUGAAGAUUUCGGUCCUAUGCAAUAUGAACCCAUGAAUCAUGUCAGGUCCUGACGGAAGCAGCAUUAAGUGGAUCCUCAUAUGUGCCGUAGGGUAGCCGAGAUUUAGCUGUCGACUUCGGUAACGUUUAUGAAUUGUGUUCGAUUCAGAGGUGUGCGG
rnacentral:SRP_RNA from 32 species